rnacentral:rRNA from 1 species
AUUGAACGCUGGCGGCAGGCCUAACACAUGCAAGUCGAACGAGUGGCGGACGGGUGAGUAAUGUCUGGGAAACUGCCUGAUGGAGGGGGAUAACUACUGGAAACGGUAGCUAAUACCGCAUACCCUCAGAUGUACCCAGAUGGGCUUAGCUAGUUGGUGGGGUAACGGCUCACCAAGGCGAUGAUCCCUACCUGGUCUGAGAGGAUGACCGGCAACACGGGAACGGGUACACGGUCCAGAUUCCUACGGGAGGCAGCAGUGGGGAAUAUUGGACAAUGAGGGCAAGCCUGCUGCGGCCAUGCGGCGUGUAUGAAGAGGGCCUUCGGGUUGUAAAGUACUUUCAGCGGGGAGGCGUUACCCGCAGAAGAAGCACCGGCUAACUCCGUGCCAGCAGCCGCGGUAAUAC